rnacentral:rRNA from 1 species
GAAGGAUUGACAGGUUGAUAGCCCUUUCAUGAUUAAUGGGUGGUGGUGCAUGGCCGUUCUUAGUUGGUGGAGUGAUUUGUCUGGUUAAAUUCCGAUAACGAACGAGACCUCUGCUGUUAAAUAGGGAUAAUUAUGAGAAAUCAUAGUUAAUUUAUUUCUCUUCUUAAUAGGACUUUUGGUUUUAAUCCAAAGGAAGUUUGAGGCAAUAACAGGUCUGUGAUGCCCUUAGAUGUUCUGGGCCGCACGCGCGCUACACUGAUAGGUUCAAAGAGUAUAUUCAUUUAAUCCUUCUCUGGAAAGAGUGGGUAAUCUUCUUAAAGCUUAUCGUGAUGGGGAUAGAUGAUUGCAAUUAUUCAUCUUGAACGAGGAAUUCCUAGUAAGCGUAAGUCAUCAGCUUACGUUGAUUACGUCCCUGCCCCUUGUACACACCGC